rnacentral:rRNA from 1 species
CCUACGGGUGGCAGCAGUGAGGAAUAUUGGUCAAUGGACGAGAGUCUGAACCAGCCAAGUAGCGUGAGGGAAUACUGCCCUAUGGGUUGUAAACUUCUUUUAUGUGGGAAUAAAAUGUUCCACGUGUAGGAUUUUGUCUGUACCAUAUGAAUAAGGAUCGGCUAACUCCGUGCCAGCAGCCGCGGUAAUACGGAGGAUCCGAGCGUUAUCCGGAUGUAUUGGGUUUAAAGGUAGCGUAGGUGGAUUGUUAAGUCAGGUGUGAAAGGUUGCGGCUCAACUGUAAAAUUGCAGAUGAAACUGGCAGUCUUGAGUACAGUAGAGGUGGGCGGAAUUCGUGGUGUAGCAGUGAAAUGCGUAGAUAUCACGAAGAACUCUGAUUGCGAAGGCAGUUCACUGGACUGCAACUGACACUGAGGCUCGAAAGUGAGGGUAUCAAACAGGAUUAGAUACCCUAGUAGUC